CUGACAGCGAAUAUUGAUCACAUAACCCCGAGUGCAGGAACUAGGAGACUGCUCAUCCAGCUAACCGCGCCUCACCUGGAUGGUAGCAGCUGUUAGGAAAAAAUAUUGGUCUGUUGACCGUGUUAAAUGGAUGGCACCGCCUCUAAUACAAAUAUACUGUAGGGAAACAGGGAAGGGGAUGCUUCCUGACACCUGUCUUUAAUCUCUGGAUGCUCUGAGUCCCCAAGAUAAGUCACGGGAUAGUGGAUUCCAAAAGCAUUUUUCCACCUGAUGUCCAUUGUGUGCAUGAUGCUUUAAAAAUUCAAUUGACUCCUCUCAACAUUCUAGAGACUUGUUAAGUUGCACCAAGGCAAACUGUCAGGCACGGAAUGAGAAGGUGCUGUUUAUGGCCGCAGCCCUUGCUGCCUGCUUUUACCUAUGACAUUUUUGGACAGGAAUAGGAAACCCCACAGGGUUGGGAGGUCAACUUGUUUCACUUGGCUGGCGCCCCCGGACUAGCACGAGUCAUAGAAUGGCGAGGGUUGGAAGGGACCUUAAAGCUCAUGCAGUUCCAACCGCCUGCCGUGGACAGGGCUGCCACCCACCAGCUCAGGCUGCCCAGGGCUCCAUCCAACCUGGCCUUGACACCUCCAGGGAUGGGGCAUCCACAGCCAGAUGGAUGGAUGCCCACGUGCUCUGGGCAGCCCAAAGCUCAGAUGUACAAUUGCUUGCAGAAAGUGAAUUCCAGCCAUAGUUUUUAGCUCCUUCUUUUGUUUUAUCUUUUACAGCAGUUCCAAAAGUGCAUUCACUUGAAACUUCUAAAAGCAAUUUGGUUUGCUUUCACUUGUUCCUCAUUUCAGCUAUCUGGUCCUCCCUAUCUGUGGCUGUACCAGCAGCAAUGCUACCCUGAGCCUCUCACGGGUAAAUAAGAAGUCAACACGCAUGUUUGCAAAGUAUGUUUAACUUGCGUCUUUCAUCUGUGAUUAAUAUUAAAUCUAUUGAGCUACAUAAAUAAGUAAUUCACUUACAGACCUGUCAAACCAAUAGUAAUUUCUUCCCCUCUGAAGCUCUGAGCUAUCCGUUCUAAUUGUUUAAUUUCCUUUUGUGUACCUGGAGAUAAAAACAGCCUGCUAGGCCGCUUCCACUUGGAAAGAAGGGAGGGCUGCCCAGUCACUCUCCUCCUCUGCCUCUUUCCCACUGCGUACAAGGUCUGCAAAUGUCCUUAAAAGCCUUGAGUGAAGAGUAAAAGAGCCAUUUUGCACAUCAUUUCUGCGGUGGUAGCUUGUGCAUGGAAAGUGGACUCCUGCUCAGCCUUCUGGCUUGGAUCACAGCCCUGCAAAAUCAUCUCCACCAAGAGACUAUGGAUCUGUUUCUGUUCUCCUGCAAAUGAAAUUAGCAGAAUUAUAUAAACAUAAAACCAGGGGCAAAUGAGAGGAAACUCAUGUUUGCUCUUUUGUGUUGAUAUGGAGUUGUGCUCCUCGAGCACUAAUAAGGCAGUGCUCUCACGGAAGACUGAGAGCAUGUAUUCAGGCCCCUGGCCUCCCAGUGACUGUGCACAACACUCAGCUCCUUUAAGUUUACAAGUACUUUACAGGUUGCUUAUAGAGAAGAGUAUGAAGUUGGUUUGAGGGAAAAUAAUCCCCAGGUUGGGAAGUCCCUCCUAGCUAAAGAAAGCACUGAGCACAGGGAGUCGAGAGGAAACCUCAUCCCCUCCCCAGUUCAUCCAGGUGCCUAUAUCAAAGCAGCAGGGGAGGAUCUCCCAGCAGCAAGGGAUCCUUUCUGAAACACAGUUGUGUAGGACUUCUCUUUGGAAGCAAUGAUGAGAGAGCACUCCCUCGAAACCCACCCCAGCGCCAUUUCAGGCUGGUGGAGGUGGUGGUACUGGGCUACAGCUCUUAAUCUGUGGGAAUUUUCCUCCCUCCAGCAUUUGCUGCAUAUGUAAAGCCCUGCAUAAGCCAUUGUAGUCUCUGGGAUCUGGGGGUGGAAAGAGGAAUGGAAGAAAUCUUGAAGCAGAAUAUAUUUAGCUUCCUUCUCUUCCAGGAUGCUCCUUCACACCUCACUGUUCAGCGCAUCCAGCCCUGCACCGAGCAGGGGAAAUGCAGCAAAACCAGCAGAGCUUUCUGCAGCAAUGAAGGGGCUUUCAGUAAAGCAGCCUCAGUACUGAAAACAUGAAAGGGACACCACAGUUCUUUAUCAAAGCACAGUUUAACACAAUCCAUGUGAGGGAUGCUGUGUUAGUUCCUAGCACUAUUUAGCUAUACCGAAAGGAAAGGAAAAUAUUAUAGCUAUGCAGAAAUAAAAAAUGGGAUCAAGAUUAGUGGAAAAGGGCAGAAAUGACGUUUACUAAGCUGCCUUUUGCCUGUGAUGUUUGUUCUUUACUGUUUUUCACUUAACAAGACUGCAGAAGACAUUACUUGUCCUUAAAGAGUGCUACUGCAUGCAGAGAGGAACCAGACCGUGGUUAUCUGCUGUAACCGAAAAGCUGACAUUUUGAAGUGGUCAUUAUUCAUUGCAACUGCUCAGAUUGAGGCCAUUUCACAUGGAAACAAUUAAGAGGCAGAAUGCAUAUCAUAACAAAGGAAUGAGAAAGAAAGAUCAGGAAAUACAGGCAGAUUGGAUAAUUCUCUUAAAAUGGAUACCGUAUUUACUGCAAGUGAUUAUAACAAAUCUAAGACUUGUAUUACCACCAGAGAACAGACAUGACUGAAUUGCAGAUUUUCUCAUGCAACCUCAGAGGAAAAAAUUCAGUUUAUUGAUUAAUUCAUAAUUUAGGUCCAGAAUGGAAAAAAAAAAAUCUCAUUUCAUUUGUGUGCAG
ensembl:lncRNA